CAUCUAUUGGAAUCUGCUGCAUAAAUAUUAUGAAUUUUCAUUUAUGGGGCGAAUGAAAAUUGUAUGAAAUAAUGUACUUUACAUACCACCAAGGAAUAUGGCUUUUGCUUACUGUAAUCAUUUUUAAUUGGCUGCUUGUUUUUCAGACAUACUUGUGUAUCUGACCGCUCUUGGUAUUCGAAGAGUUGGUAAAUAUGUUUCAGUUUAAUGUCAUAUUCAACAAUAUUUUUCACGAACAAGUGACUUUAGCACUAUUGUAUGGCACUUAAUUUUAGUGGCACCAACUCUUAGCGAUUUUUUUUUAAAUCGAUGUAUCGGCAUAGCUUCAUUUCUGCAGUAGUUUUGCAUUUGCGCUAUAUUUAAAUUUGCCACAUUCCAGAAAUGAAUCAACCAUGAAAUUAAGAUUAUAUCAGUUUAACUUCCAGUUAUUAGCACUGCUGAAUAUGAGCCAACAGACGCCUUAAUUAUAAAUGUGUGUAUUACCAGUUUGUACGUACAUUAUAUAUAAUUUUUGACGUGUAAAGAUGUAAAAACUGUAAGUGAAAAAACUACUGAAAUCGCUUUCAAGCUUAUAUUCAGUUUUGUGGCAAUUAAAUUUAGCGGUUGAAUAUUUGGCGGAAAUUUAUCUUGGCGCAAAAGACUAUGACUGCCAAUAGCUCUGUAAAAGUCUGUUGCAAAACUUCGUAUCACGCGGUAUUUCAACAUUUGAAGUAGUAUAUGGGUUUUGAAAAUGAGAUUCAUCAAGUUGACUUCCUUCAGAACAAACGUCGGAAUACAUAUAAAAUAGCGUAUUUCGUUACAUGUUUGAACUUAAAUUUUCAAUAAUAUUAUCUUUGCAUUAUUACAAAAAAUUGUAACGCCAGAUAAAUUGAUUUUCAAAUUUUAAACAAAAUAUUAGGUAUCCAUGAAUUUGUUUCCUAUCUGAAGGUUCACUCGAAUGCCAUAACUGUUCAAACAUAAUAGAUGUUAAUGACUGUGUGAGUACUACGCGUUGUCGUUAUGGACAGGUAAGGCAAAAUCUUAUGAUUCUGGCUUUGAAUUACACGAUCAAAUUAGAUAUAAACAUGAUUAAGUAGAAUUGUUCACCUAACAUUUUCUUACAGUAAGGCUGUAAGGUUUUGCAAAUAUGUUUUCAAUUCAUUAAUAAGUCAGAUUUAAUUUUAAUUUAAUGCCUUUUAAUUUUUCUUAACUGAUGUUUUAAUUGUAAUAAUUUCUUGACUGCUCAUACAAACUCACUCGAGGAUUUCGGUAAAAGCUCCAAGUAUGUAUGUAAAGCGAUUUUUCAACAUGUGUCAUCUACACGAGAUAUAUCAUGGGUAACAGCGCUUUCAAUAUAUAUUUCUAACAACGUUUUGUCAUAUUUGUUUCAUUUUGCUAACUUACUUGAAAGACCUACUUUAACAAGACUGUGCAUACAAACCCUCCCUCUGAAACAUGACAUAUCCGAAUAGUUUGUCACUUAUUAUAGUACUAAUCGCUUUACAAUUCAGUCGUGCUAUCUGACUUCAAAACAUACUGGAAACACUCUGCUGUACACUCUAGGCUGUAUGGAUCAUCAGGUAUGUGGCCAGCAAUCCCACGUAGCUGGUGCACUUGUUGGACGGGACCUCACAGAAUGUGAGGCAAAUGAUUGUCCUCGAAUGUUGCAGUACUGACAAUUGUAACAAAUACCUUUGCGAACAAUUGAAAUCUUGACGGAAAUUGGGCAGAAUGGUCUCAGUGGUCAGCUUGUGAUGUCACUUGUAAUAAUGGUACCCAAACUAGGACACGAACGUGCACGAACCCAGCUCCUGUCAAUAGUGGACUGGAUUGUACAGGAAAUGACACAGAUUAAAAAACCUGCAAAAAGGAGGAGCUUUGUCCAGUUCAUGGAGGAUGGAGUAACUGGGAGCAUUGGGAAUAUUGUUCAGUCACGUGUGGUUAUGGGAUUCGAUAACGACACCGAAAUUGCUCAAACCCAUACCCUGAUAGGUAUGGGGAUCAUUGUUUCGGUGAAGGAAUGGAUGAUAGAUUGUGCAUGUCUGUUCCUUGUGCAAGUAAGGACGGUUUAUAUUCCUUUGCAAAUUUCAUGCAUGCCGCUUCAUAUUAAACUAUCAGAGAAUGACGAACGAAAAUAUAUUUAGAACGUAUAACUGUUUUUAAAAAACAAUUCUUCUUAUGACAUGUUUACUGGUGUCUCUUUUGGUUGAUAACUGUUUCUGAUAAGCCCACCCGCUAAAUUCAAUAGGAAUCUACAGAUCGCGGGGUCGUGAGUUCGAUUUCCGCGCGAGGCGUAAUUUCUUCAUGACGAUUUGAUGAAAGAUUUUGUCUGAAAUCAUUAGUCCUCCACCUCUGAUU
rnacentral:misc_RNA from 1 species